UUGUUGUUGUUGUUGUUGUUGUUGUUGUUAGUGUUGGUGGUGGUGGUGGUGGUGGUGGUGGUGUGUGUGUGUGUGCAUGUGUGUCACUCAAGCUGGCUGGCUUGUUUGCGCUAACUUAAUUAACAGGCCUUGGAGAAGCAAACCUAAAGUGCUACAGCCAAACUCAAGCUAGAAAGCGAGGUCAUUCCACCGGACCCUGAUUGAUUACAUUUCGCAGGUCCACUUACAAGUGGCAUGAUAAUAUAAGCACAGCUGGACACCAUAAGAAUAUUCUGAAGAAUAUUAUUGAGAGUAGCUGAAGAAGAAGCUUAUCAGUAUCUCUCAGCAUGCAGGGUGGGCUGUUCUGUUUUUUUGGGUGAGUGCAACCAAACCCGUAGACAGAGAAUUGGAUUAUGGGCGCCAUUUUGUGUCCAACCAAUGGUAGAAAAAAUUCUUGUAUAAAUUGUACGAACAUCGACAAAGCUUGAAGUUAAUGGAAGUUAUUACUAUACAUAUGAACAACACUUUCCCUAAUUUUUGACAGACUUUACAUGUACGUUGAGUAAUUUUUAACAAUGGCUUUGUAUAAUCCCAAUGACGAUAGGGUUAGAGUGCAAUUGUCAUUUUGAAAGAUCUCACGUUGCUUUCCUUGGUACUUGAAAAACUAAGUGAUGACAUCAACAGGAAGUGAAACUCGUGAAACUUUGAGAUUUUUCGCGGUGAGUGCUGCCUUUGAGUUCGGACUGUCUCAGUAGUUAGGCUUUCCCAGAUGUUGCAAGCGUAGCCAGACUGAGAUUACGCAGGAGCACAGGGACACCUUUACAGUUGUUUCUUUAUUUUUGGCUUAUAAUGUAUUAAUUAGAAGCUAUACUAAAGUUUUACAUUUAGUACAAUACAUUUGCUGCUUGUUCAACUUCAUUAUGGGAUCAUAGCGUACACAGAUCUACGGGGAAACGGAGUGGGAAAGAUGGGAUAAAUACACAUGCGCAUGUCUAUACACAGUGCGAAUUCAACUUGUGCAAUGGUAUUUAUGGUCGCAGAAUUUGCAUGAUUUAGAUCACCGCACAAAUUUCUGGUUUUACUGUACUUGGGGGACACAUGUGGGUGACAAUGCAAAGUAUACUUCUGAUAGGUUUAUGCAGGAGCUUGUUCAUGCAUUGGGAGAUGUUGUCAGAGAAACACGCUACUGAAGGCAGUACAUUUUCCUGCUGUUGCAAUCGUUAUUAAUGAAAUAACUGAUAUUUCUGUCUUCAUUUACUUAAUACUUUCUUCAUGGGGAAGCUAGAAUGGAUUUUUUGCUGUUGUCGAUCUGGUUGAUGGAAGAACAGUUGCGAUUAAGAAUGGUAUCUUGCAGUUUUGUAAAACAUUUGAUUUGAAAAUUUAAUUUGCACUUGGCGGUGAUGGUGCUAGUGUUAUGCAGGAAAGUAAGGGCGACUGACGUUGCUCAACUCUUAAAAGCCCAAGUGCCCUACCUUGUCACACACCACUGUGUUGCUCACAGGCUGGCAUUGACUUGUGGACAGGCUUCAAAUGAAAUUCCAUACAAUGAUACCCUUGCCCAGCUUUACCAUUAUUAAAAUUCUCCUUUUUGGAAUGGCUAGUCUAAUAUUUAUGGGAAUACAAGACGUUCUCCAUGACCCUCAAUUGAAAUUACUCAGGUAAAGGAUGUCAAAUGGCUAUACCAUGACAAGAUUGUAACCUAUCUACGUCAAUCUUUAUGUUCUGUCUUGAAAACAUUGGAAAGAGAGGCAAAUGAACGAGCAAAUGCACAAGCUGAAGGCUUGGCCAUGUUUAUCAAGAAUUUAAACUUUGUUGCAUCCCUCUACUUUCUUUCUGAUAUAUUGCCACCUCUGGCAAAUUUAUCACACGCGCCUCAAAGAGUAAACAUUAACUUGUCUUCUCAACUGUUAAGCCAUCAAAGGGAAUGAAAUCAACAAUAGAAUCUCUUACAUCAGAGCAGGGACUUCAUCAGAUAUGGAGAGUUUGGUCAAGUAUGGAUUUGAUAGCAUAAGUGAACAGAAGAUGAAGAAAUUUCACAGUUAGAUUUACAAACCAUUUAAGAACAACACUAUCUCGGAACUUGGAUUUGAGAUUUGCUGAUAUAGCUUUACUGGAGACGUUUAACAUAUUUGAUCCUUCAGAGGGAAGAGGAACCUCAGUCAGUUCUUAAUGCUAAACUAGCUAAGCUGUCUGGUCAGUACGGCUCACGUAAGGUGGGAGACUCAAUCCAGUCUUUUCAUGUGUAAAGCAGUGUUUUUCGGCAUCUGUACUCAGCACUCCACAGUUUGAAGAGCCACAUUGUACAUGACUUAAUUAAUGUUUUAAGUUAACUACCCAUCAACAGCACAGAUUCAUUUCCAAACCUCCAAACUAUGUCGACUGCAGACUGUGAAAGGGGAUUUUCUGCAUUAAGAAUCAAAGCUGACCUACACAAUUGCUUCAGGUGCAAGACAGUUUGAAUGCUCUUAUGAUGAUAUCUACAGAAGAACAUGUCAACCCUGAUGGAUUUUUUCUACUGAGAGAGCUUGUGCUAUAGGGUCAAGGUGGAGGAGGAACACACGGAUUGAAAGAUGCCAACUCGGAUGGGCAUAGAUGACAUUCCAGAAGGUGUUAUCAUGGAUUGUGCCCAGUUAGUCAAGGCAAACAGCAUCGAGGGCUCAAAGCUAUCCACCACUGACGUGAAGUACACUCCUUGGUCAAAUCUUAAGAA